UACAGAGGGUGCAAGCGUUGUCCGGAAUUAUUGGGCGUAAAGAGCUCGUAGGCGGUUUGUCGCGUCUGCUGUGAAAACCCGAGGCUCAACCUCGGGCCUGCAGUGGGUACGGGCAGACUAGAGUGCGGUAGGGGAGAUUGGAAUUCCUGGUGUAGCGGUGGAAUGCGCAGAUAUCAGGAGGAACACCGAUGGCGAAGGCAGAUCUCUGGGCCGUAACUGACGCUGAGGAGCGAAAGCAUGGGGAGCGAACAGG
rnacentral:rRNA from 1 species